rnacentral:lncRNA from 1 species
CGCAAGACUUGAUCUCCAUGUUGUUAUCCCUUAUUCCUCUUGAUGUCCCACCUCCUCCUCAGAUCAGAUCAAAGAGCGAGGAAGAUUAGAGAGAGAGAAGAAGAAGGGAAGAGAAAGGUUCUCAUCCCUUCUUGGUAUCCUAGAAGCCAUCUCCUAUGAUUUAGUGCGAAAGAGUUUGCAUGGGGAUCAUCUCCUUCUAGAUCUUGAAGGAGA